UGGAUGUAAAUGUCAAAAGACCAGUAGUUCGGAUAACGUAUGCAUGCUAGUUAUGAAAAGUACAGUUGCUCUCUACUCUACAUUCAUUAUAACUAGCAGGCUCAUACACACACAGUAACCAUUAUGCUGAUAGUUGUGUUGACGUGGUGUUCACCCUUCUGUACAGUUCUCAUCUAGGAAUAUACUAAAAUAUGUUUUUUUUUUUUUUUUUUAAUUGGCCAUGGCCAGAUGCACUCAGGAAAUUUUUGCAGAGGCCGUAAUAUAUAAUGUGAUGUGAUUAUAUAUAACUUUUAUAAUCACAUCACAUUAAUACUACUUAUUGUAAUCAGUAGUAUUAUUUAGCCUUGUAGCAGCCUAAUAGAUUAGUAAUAAUAGUAGUGGUGGUAGAACUUGUAAUUUAUCUACUACAAGUUACAUGGUCAGAGAUAAAAUGUAUUUGUACAAUGCAACUAUGUGGUAGGAUGAUAGAAAUGACCAAUGCAAUUGUGUAACAAACAGCAUGGAUGUGUUUAAAUACAUACAGCUGCAGGAGUAGGGACAUCCAGUAGUGGUACUCCAGGGACCAGUGACACACAGGCCAGGAACACACAGCCUGCAUCAAGUGAAGGUGAAGGGACACCCAGGACCACAUCAAGCACUCAGGGCACCAGUGAAAGACAGACGACUGAGACCAGGGACACGCAGCCUGAAUGAAGUGAAGGGGCCACAUUUAGCAUUCCAGGCCCCAGUGAAACACAGACCACUGAGACCAGGGAUACUCAGCCUGAAGCAAGUAAGACCCUUGAAUACCGUUUAUUCAACCACUAUUUAAAACUUCAGUG